CCCAAUGCAGCAUGCUAUACUGCAGUCGAACGCUUUUUCUUUCCCGGAGCUUGCUCCACCGAAAGAAAAAGAGUGGCGAAUGGGUGAGUAACACGUGGGUGACCUGCCCAUCAUAAGGGGAUAACACUUGGAAACAGGUGAUAAUACCGUAUAACACUAUUUUCCGCAUGGAAGAAAGUUGAAAGGCGCUUUUGCGUCACUGAUGGAUGGACCCGCGGUGCAUUAGCUAGUUGGUGAGGUAACGGCUCACCAAGGCCACGAUGCAUAGCCGACCUGAGAGGGUGAUCGGCCACACUGGGACUGAGACACGGCCCAGACUCCUACGGGAGGCAGCAGUAGGGAAUCUUCGGCAAUGGACGAAAGUCUGACCGAGCAACGCCGCGUGAGUGAAGAAGGUUUUCGGAUCGUAAAACUCUGUUGUUAGAGAAGAACAAGGAUGAGAGUAAAACGUUCAUCCCUUGACGGUAUCUAACCAGAAAGCCACGGCUAACUACGUGCCAGCAGCCGCGGUAAUACGUAGGUGGCAAGCGUUGUCCGGAUUUAUUGGGCGUAAAGCGAGCGCAGGCGGUUUCUUAAGUCUGAUGUGAAAGCCCCCGGCUCAACCGGGGAGGGUCAUUGGAAACUGGGAGACUUGAGUGCAGAAGAGGAGAGUGGAAUUCCAUGUGUAGCGGUGAAAUGCGUAGAUAUAUGGAGGAACACCAGUGGCGAAGGCGGCUCUCUGGUCUGUAACUGACGCUGAGGCUCGAAAGCGUGGGGAGCGAACAGGAUUAGAUACCCUGGUAGUCCACGCCGUAAACGAUGAGUGCUAAGUGUUGGAGGGUUUCCGCCCUUCAGUGCUGCAGCAAACGCAUUAAGCACUCCGCCUGGGGAGUACGACCGCAAGGUUGAAACUCAAAGGAAUUGACGGGGGCCCGCACAAGCGGUGGAGCAUGUGGUUUAAUUCGAAGCAACGCGAAGAACCCUUACCAGGUCUUGACAUCCUUUGACCACUCUAGAGAUAGAGCUUCCCCUUCGGGGGCAAAGUGACAGGUGGUGCAUGGUUGUCGUCAGCUCGUGUCGUGAGAUGUUGGGUUAAGUCCCGCACGAGCGCAACCUUUAUGUAGUGCCAUCAUUUAGUGGCACUCUAGCGAGACUGCGUGACAACCGGAGGAAGGUGGGAUGACGUCAAUCAUCAUGCCCUUAUGACUGGCUAACACUGCUACAUGGAAGUUACACACGAGUUUGGCAAGUUCCCAGAGGCCUAGGCU
rnacentral:rRNA from 1 species